rnacentral:lncRNA from 1 species
UUGAAAUUGAAGGCUGCAAUGUCGAUAACAAAUCUGAUUCUAACUCUCCCGUGUCACUGAAGCCCAAAGGUGCCUUUGUCUCCCAGGAGAAAGCGGUUGGAGGCAGGAGACACUGCUAAUUAUGGAAGCAAUUCCCAUGGAUACAGAGAAGAAUUGUCUGAGCUGGGGAGUCAAAGCUCUGAUCAAGACAGGGCUGAGACGAAAAAUGCCCCCAACAUUCUCAGAGGAAAUUCCGGAGUUGUCAAGGGACAUGCCUCCUCUGCAGGAAUGCCCCCUAGAUCCGGCAUUUGAAGAUCUGGAAACUUCCUUUCUGUCACCUUCCUAACUCAUGUGUUAAGAAUCCCUUUGUUUGAGAAAUGGAAUUUAAAAAGCAGUUUCUUUUAUUCGAACAUUAUCUGACAGGUUAUCUUGAAAAAAUCUGGGCUCUACCGAGAGUGAUUCUCAAAAACGACAGUACCUGAAAAGAGGCAGACCUGGCCAUCAGGGCAGCCUACAUGGCGCAAGCAUUUGGGACACCACUGGUUCCUUUCUGCUGUUUGUAAAAAUAAAAUCCAAACUCCUUCCAAAUCCAAGAGGACCCUGCAUGGUCUGGCCUCACCCACAUGGAGACCUUCUCUGUCUGGCUGCUAAUAGAACUUGACAACUUUCCAGUUUCAGAACUAUCACACACUUUCCUCUCUGCCUGGAAUGACCCUCACCACAGUGGGUGGUGCCUUCUCAUCCUGCAAGAAACUUUACUUCCUCAGAGUGGCCUUUCCUAGCCAUCAAUCUUAAAAUUGGUUCACCAUUAUUCUUUCUUUCAGAGUUUGUUCUUUUCGUUCAGAAAAGUUAAUCAGAAUUUAUAAUUCUGUUUACUCAC